GGAAGAGCACACUCAGCUUGAUGGCCAGCUACCUGUCAAGCCUCUCCACCCAGUCCUCCAUCUUUCAGCUCUUCAGGCAGACGGCCUGGUGAAGGAGCUGCUGAUGGUCAGUCUCUUCUUGAGAGUGACCAUCUUCCUCUCUACAGUCCCAGAUGUCCUUCAAGGUCUUCUUUCUCACCCCUCCAGCCUCUCCUCCUUUUUCCUCCUGACCUUCCUGAGCAGCAGCUCCUCCCUCUCUGAUGUCAGUCAUCCACAUCCACCCCAUCCUCGGUGAUUUCAAAUCACCUUUGAUUGUUGCACUGCUCCUCGUGUCAUUUAAGAUGUCCUGCAAAUUAACGGUGUAUUAAAUUAGACAGCAGCAGUCAGUCAUGGAGCUCUACCACCACCCAGUGAUUUGCAGUGGACCUGCAGCAGGCUGUGACACCAGGAUGUUGGCGUGGUGGCAUCACAGCAGAAAAAAUAGCUCAAGUGGUGGCGUAGUGCAGGGGAGUGCAGAGUACAGACAAAUAUCUGUGCGGUGAAAGCUCAGAAGCUGAUGAGUAUUCAGAGGAAGACACCAACACGUCUGCAAGCAAUCACUGCACUGGGAUAGUGUUAGUAAGGAUGUCAUUGAUUAGCAGGCGGCAACAAAGGAGGCAGACUGGUAAAGGCUCUUAUUAAUGGAAACCACAGCUAAAAUGCUUUC